CCCAUAUGAAAGCAGGCAGGGAGCCCAGACAACACUUGUGUUUCUGCCCUGUCUGCCUGAUUAUCCACCCAUGUCUUUUGCGUACUACUUGUUUCCUCGGUGGGCUUGCCCGCCGAUAGGACACCACAUCAACCCUUUGCAAUUGCAGUCAGCGUCAGAAAAAACAUAAUAGUUACAACUUUCAACAACGGAUCUCUUGGUUCUGGCAUCGAUGAAGAACGCAGCGAAAUGCGAUAAGUAGUGUGAAUUGCAGAAUUCAGUGAAUCAUCGAAUCUUUGAACGCACAUUGCGCCCCUUGGUAUUCCAUGGGGCAUGCCUGUUCGAGCGUCAUUUGUACCCUCAAGCUCUGCUUGGUGUUGGGUGUUUGUCCCCCAGGGGACUCGCCUUAAAAUUAUUGGCAGCCGGCAUACUGGUUUCGGAGCGCAGCACAUUUUGCGCUUCUGGCGUGGUCGCUAGCUUAUCGCCGUGUAAGCCCUUCGACAUAG
rnacentral:misc_RNA from 1 species